rnacentral:rRNA from 1 species
UACGUAGGGUGCGAGCGUUAAUCGGAAUUACUGGGCGUAAAGCGUGCGCAGGCGGUUCGUUGUGUCCGUCGUGAAAGCCCCGGGCUUAACCUGGGAACUGCGAUGGAAACUAGCGAGCUGGAGUGUGGCAGAGGGGGGUGGAAUUCCGCGUGUAGCAGUGAAAUGCGUAGAGAUGCGGAGGAACACCGAUGGCGAAGGCAGCUCGCUGGGACGUCACUGACGCUGAGACGCGAAAGCGUGGGGAGCAAACAGG